rnacentral:rRNA from 1 species
GGAGCCGUAGCGAAAGCGAGUUUUAACUGAGCGUUCAGUUACUUGACGUAGACCCGAAACCGGGCGACCUACCCAUGAGCAGGAUGAAGCGAAAGUAAAAUUUCGUGGAGGUCCGAACCCACGAGCGUUGAAAAGCUCGGGGAUGACUUGUGGGUAGCGGUGAAAUUCCAAUCGAGCCCGGAGAUAGCUGGUUCUCCCCGAAAUAGCUUUAGGGCUAGCCUCAAGGUGAGAGAUACGGAGGUAGAGCACUGAAUGUCCUAGGGGGUAUUGCACCUACCGAAGACUAUCAAACUCCGAAUGCCGUCAUCUUAUACUUGGGAGUCAGACUGUGGGUGAUAAGAUUCAUAGUCGAAAGGGCAACAGCCCAGAUCGUCAGCUAAGGUCCCUAAAUGUAAGUUAAGUGGUAAAGGAUGUGGGAUUGCACAGACAACCAGGAUGUUGGCUUAGAAGCAGCCACUCAUUCAAAGAGUGCGUAAUAGCUCACUGGUCGAGUGAUCCUGCGCCGAAGAUUUCCGGGGCUAAAACUUACUACCGAAGCUACGGCAUCAGUAAUGAUGGGUAGGGGAGCUUCCCAUACGGGUUGAAGCAUGACCGUAAGGACAUGUGGACAGUAUGGGAGUGAGAAUGUUGGCAUGAGUAGCGAGAUGUGGGUGAGAAUCCCACAGGCCGUAAACCCAAGGUUUCCAGGGGAAGGUUCGUCCGCCCUGGGUUAGUCGGGACCUAAGCUGAGGCCGAAAGGCGUAGGUGAUGGACAACAGGUUGAUAUUCCUGUACUACCGAUAACCGUUUGAGAGAAGGGAUGACACAGUAGGAUAAGCUAAGCACACUGUUGGUUAUGUGUGCCCAAGCAUUGAGGCAGUCAAAGUAGGCAAAUCCGCUUUGAUAAUGCUGGGAUGUGAUGGGGAGCGAAAUUUAGUAGCGAAGUAGCUGAUUUCACACUGUCAAGAAAAGUCUCUAUCGAGGUUAAAGGUACCCGUACCGCAAACCGACACAGGUGGGUGAGGAGAGUAUCCUAAGGCCAGCGAGAGAACUGUUGUUAAGGAACUCGGCAAAAUGACCCCGUAACUUAGGGAUAAGGGGUGCCACCAUCAGGUGGCCGCAGAGAAUAGGCCCAAGCGACUGUUUACCAAAAACAUAGGUUUCUGCUAAGUCGCAAGACGAUGUAUAGGAGCUGACGCCUGCCCGGUGCUGGAAGGUUAAGGGGAUCUGUUAGAGCAAUCGAAGCAGUGAACUUAAGCCCCAGUAAACGGCGGCCGUAACUAUAACGGUCCUAAGGUAGCGAAAUUCCUUGUCGGGUAAGUUCCGACCCGCACGAAAGGCGUAACGAUUUGGGCACUGUCUCA